rnacentral:rRNA from 1 species
UGCAUGUCUAAGUACAUGCCGUAGUAAGGCGAAACCGCGAAUGGCUCAUUAAAUCAGUUAUGGUUCCUUGGAUCGUACUUCCUUACUUGGAUAACUGUGGCAAUUCUAGAGCUAAUACAUGCAGCAGAGCUCCGACCUUCACAGGGACGAGCGCUUUUAUUAGACCAAAACCAAUCGGACUCCUCCGUGGGUCCGUCAAACGUGGUGACUCUGUAUAACUUUGGGCUGAUCGCACGGGCUUGUCCCGGCGACGUAUCUUUCAAGUGUCUGCCUUAUCAACUGUCGAUGGUAGGUUACGCGCCUACCAUGGUCGUAACGGGUAACGGGGGAUCAGGGUUCGAUUCCGGAGAGGGAGCCUGAGAAACGGCUACCACAUCCAAGGAAGGCAGCAGGCGCGCAAAUUACCCACUCCCGGAACGGGGAGGUAGUGACGAAAAAUAACAAUACGGGACUCUUUUGAGACCCCGUAAUUGGAAUGAGAACACUUUAAAUCCUUUAGCGAGGAUCCAUUGGAGGGAAAGUCUGGUGUCAGCAGCUGCGGUAACUCCAGCUCCAAUAGCGUAUAUUAAAGUUGUUGCGGUUAAAAAGCUCGUAGUUGGAUCUCAGUUCGAGACGGGUGGUCCGCCUCAUGGUGGUCACUGCCUGUUCUCAACACCGGCCGGUUUCUCUGGAUGAUCUUCACCGGUUGUCUUGAGUGACCGGCAAGUUUACUUUGAAAAAAUUAGAGUGCUCAAAGCAGGCGCGACGCCUGGAUAAUGGUGCAUGGAAUAAUGGAAUAGGACCUCGGUUCUAUUUUGUUGGUUUUUCGGAACACGAGGUAAUGAUUAAGAGGGACAGACGGGGGCAUUCGUAUUGCAGCGCUAGAGGUGAAAUYYKWGGACCGCUGCACGACGAMACWSCGAAWUYRUUUGMCAAGMRGKYKWUYAGAUACCGCCCUAGUUCUAACCAUAAACGAUGCCAGCCAGCGAUUCGGCUGUGUUCCUCAAAUGACACGCCGGGCAGCUUCCGGGAAACCAAAGCUUUUGGGUUCYUKUKGGAGUAUGGUUGCAAAGCUGAAACUUAAAGGAAUUGACGGAAGCGCACACAAGGCAUGGGGCCUGCGGUUUAAUUUGACUCAACACGGCGCAACUCACCCGGCCCGGACACAGGAAGGAUUGACAGAUUAAGAGCUCUUUCUUGAUUCUGUGAUAGGUGGUGCAUGGCCGUUUCUAGUUGGUGGAGUGAUUUGUCUGCUUUAUUGCGAUAACGAGCGAGAUUCCAUCCUACUAAAUAGACGCUCCCAUCACAUUGAAGUGGGACGUUCUUCUUAGAGGGACAAGCGGUGUUCAGCCGCACGAAACGGAGCAAAAACAGGUCAGGAUGCCCUUAGAUGUUCGGGGCCACACGCGCGCCACAUUGAAGGAAUCAGCGUGUGCUUUCCCUGUCCGACAGGACUGGGUAACCCUCGCAACCUCCUUCGUGCUGGGGAUAGGGGCUUGUAACUGUUCCCCUUGAACGAGGAAUGCCCAGUAAGCAUGAGUCAUCAGCUCGUGUUGAUUACGUCCCUGCGCUUUGUACACACCGCCCGUCGCUAUUAUCGAUGAAUGUUGGAGUGAGAUCUUCGGACUGGUUUUCCUUAUUGGAUUUUAUCCGAAACUGAUGGCCGGAAAGAUGACCGAACUUGAAUAUUUAGAGAAAAUAAAAGUCGUAACAAGGCUUCCGUAGGUGAACCUG